GGGUCCUUGAGACCUUUGUGGCGCAGUUAACGCGAUAAGUCGACCGCCUGGGGAGUACGGCCGCAAGGUUAAAACUCAAAUGAAUUGACGGGGGCCCGCACAAGCGGUGGAGCAUGUGGUUUAAUUCGAUGCAACGCGAAGAACCUUACCUACCCUUGACAUCGAGAGAACUUUCCAGAGAUGGAUUGGUGCCUUCGGGAACUCUCAGACAGGUGCUGCAUGGCUGUCGUCAGCUCGUGUUGUGAAAUGUUGGGUUAAGUCCCGUAACGAGCGCAACCCUUGUCCCUAUUUGCCAGCGAUUCGGUCGGGAACUCUAGGGAGACUGCCGGUGACAAACCGGAGGAAGGUGGGGACGACGUCAAGUCAUCAUGGCCCUUACGGGUAGGGCUACACACGUGCUACAAUGGUCGGUACAAUGGGUUGCGAAGCCGCGAGGUGGAGCUAAUCCCAUAAAGCCGGUCUCAGUCCGGAUCGGAGUCUGCAACUCGACUCCGUGAAGUCGGAAUCGCUAGUAAUCGUGAAUCAGAAUGUCACGGUGAAUACGUUCCCGGGCCUUGUACACACCGCCCGUCACACCAUGGGAGUGGACUGCACCAGAAGUGGUUAGCCUAACUUCGGAGGGCGAUCACCACGGUGUGGUUCAUGACUGGGGUGAAGU
rnacentral:rRNA from 1 species